AUUGAACGCUGGCGGCAGGCUUAACACAUGCAAGUCGAGCGGAGAUGAGGUGCUUGCACCUUAUCUUAGCGGCGGACGGGUGAGUAAUGCUUAGGAAUCUGCCUAUUAGUGGGGGACAACAUUCCGAAAGGAAUGCUAAUACCGCAUACGUCCUACGGGAGAAAGCAGGGGAUCUUCGGACCUUGCGCUAAUAGAUGAGCCUAAGUCGGAUUAGCUAGUUGGUGGGGUAAGGGCCUACCAAGGCGACGAUCUGUAGCGGGUCUGAGAGGAUGAUCCGCCACACUGGGACUGAGACACGGCCCAGACUCCUACGGGAGGCAGCAGUGGGGAAUAUUGGACAAUGGAGGAAACCCUGAUCCAGCCAUGCCGCGUGUGUGAAGAAGGCCUUAUGGUUGUAAAGCACUUUAAGCGAGGAGGAGGCUACUGAGACUAAUACUCUUGGAUAGUGGACGUUACUCGCAGAAUAAGCACCGGCUAACUCUGUGCCAGCAGCCGCGGUAA
rnacentral:rRNA from 1 species